GACUUGACAACAUCACCAAGAGGAACAUUUGGUGCCUUUUUAGCAUUUUGGAGCCACGGAUGCUCUAGCACUUGCUUUGCAGUUAGUCGAUGCUUUGGGUCUGGCUCCAACAUCUGCUUGACUAGACUCUUGGCACUCUCAGAAAUGUUUGGCCAUGGAUCCCGUUUGAAGUCUAUGAUCCCACGAAGAAUGGCCUGUGCAACUCCUUGCUCAGACUCAGCCCAAAAAGGGGGAACUCCACACAACAAAAUGUAAAGAAUGACCCCUGCACUCCAUAUGUCAAUUUCUGGCCCAUAGUUCCGCUUUAGCACCUCUGGAGCCAUGUAAUAUGGACUUCCGACAAUUUCAGAGAACCUCUCACCUGGCUUGAAAAAUAUUGACAAGCCAAAAUCAAUGGCCUUCAAAGGCGAAUUCUCCUUCUUAUUUGCAAAGAGAAAAUUCUCGGGCUUCAAGUCCCUAUGAAUCACUCCAUGCUUGUGGCACAGCUGCACAACCUCCACAAUCGUCCGUGUGACAGCCGCAGCUGCUCUCUCCGUAUAAUGCCCUCUGGCCACAAUCCGAUCAAACAGUUCUCCUCCCUCGCACAACUCCAUCACCAAAUGUACCGCAUUGUCAUCCUCGCAGGCCUCCUU
rnacentral:misc_RNA from 1 species